CGAGCGCACCCCUGUCGCUAGUUACCAUCAGGGUAAUGCUGGGGACUCUAGCGAGACCGCUGGUGACGAGCCAGAGGAAGGUGGGGAUGACGUCAAGUCCGCAUGGCCCUUAUGCCCUGGGCUGCACACGUGCUACAAUGGUCGGUACAGAGGGUUGCCAAACCGCGAGGUGGAGCAAAUCCCAAAAAGCCGGCCUCAGUUCGGAUUGUAGUCUGCAACUCGACUGCAUGAAGUUGGAAUCGCUAGUAUCGCGAGUCAGCAGGUCGCGGUGAAUAUGUUCCCGGCCCUUGUACACACCGCCCGUCACGCCAUGGAAGUCGGUAGCGCUCGAAGACGGUGGGCUAACCUUCGGGAGGCAGCUGGCGAAAGCGAGACCGAUGACUGGGGCGAAGUCGUAACAAGGUAGCCGUAGGGGAACCUGCGGCUGGAUCACCUCCUUU
rnacentral:rRNA from 1 species